rnacentral:rRNA from 1 species
CAGCCGCCGCGGUAAUACCGGCGGCCCGAGUGGCGGUCACUAUUAUUGGGCUUAAAGCGUCCGUAGCCGGGUUGGGAAGUCCUCCGGGAAAUCUGGCCGCUUAACGGUCAGAAUGCCGGAGGAUACUCCCAGCCUAGGGAGCGGGAGAGGCCGAGGGUAUUCCCGGAGUAGGGGUGAAAUCCUAUAAUCCCGGGAGGACCACCUGUGGCGAAGGCGCUCGGCUGGAACGCGUCCGACGGGGAGGGACGAAGGCCAGGGGAGCAAACCGGAUUAGAUACCCGGGUAGUCCUGGCGGUAAACGAUGCGGACUUUGUGUCGGACAAGCUAUGAGCUUGUCCGGUGCCGGAGGGAAACCGUUAAGUCCGCCGCCUGGGGAGUACGGCCGCAAGGCUGAAACUUAAAGGAAUUGGCGGG